rnacentral:rRNA from 1 species
AUUAGAGUUUGAUCCUGGCUCAGAUUGAACGCUGGCGGCAGGCCUAACACAUGCAAGUCGAGCGGAUGAGGGGAGCUUGCUCCCUGAUUUAGCGGCGGACGGGUGAGUAAUGCCUAGGAAUCUGCCUGGUAGUGGGGGAUAACGUUCCGAAAGGAACGCUAAUACCGCAUACGUCCUACGGGAGAAAGCAGGGGACCUUCGGGCCUUGCGCUAUCAGAUGAGCCUAGGUCGGAUUAGCUAGUUGGUGAGGUAAUGGCUCACCAAGGCGACGAUCCGUAACUGGUCUGAGAGGAUGAUCAGUCACACUGGAACUGAGACACGGUCCAGACUCCUACGGGAGGCAGCAGUGGGGAAUAUUGGACAAUGGGCGAAAGCCUGAUCCAGCCAUGCCGCGUGUGUGAAGAAGGUCUUCGGAUUGUAAAGCACUUUAAGUUGGGAGGAAGGGCAUUAACCUAAUACGUUAGUGUUUUGACGUUACCAACAGAAUAAGCACCGGCUAACUUCGUGCCAGCAGCCGCGGUAAUACGAAGGGUGCAAGCGUUAAUCGGAAUUACUGGGCGUAAAGCGCGCGUAGGUGGUUCGUUAAGUUGGAUGUGAAAGCCCCGGGCUCAACCUGGGAACUGCAUCCAAAACUGGCGAGCUAGAGUACGGUAGAGGGUGGUGGAAUUUCCUGUGUAGCGGUGAAAUGCGUAGAUAUAGGAAGGAACACCAGUGGCGAAGGCGACCACCUGGACUGAUACUACUUAGUCAAGCG